CCUAAAGGUCAGAGGCUUCCAGCAGGACGACGACCCGAAGCACAGAGCCAGGGCUGCGAUGGGCCUUUUCUGUCUCUGCGGAAGAUGAAAGCAGAAAGUCAGAAGGAGGUUCAAAUUACGUAGAGGCCAGAAGGAUCUGGGAACUGGAGGAAGCUGAGCAGAAGAAAAGGAAAAGGAUAAAUCAACGUGAUGCAUCAGGAGGAGGGAACUGGAAACAACACAAACGCAUGGAGGGAGGAUGACAGAAGACAAUGAAUGCAUUAAAACCUGAAGUCACGUC